AGAGUUUGAUCCUGGCUCAGGAUGAACGCUAGCUACAGGCUUAACACAUGCAAGUCGAGGGGCAGCAUGUUGGUUGCUUGCAACCAACGAUGGCGACCGGCGCACGGGUGAGUAACGCGUAUCCCAACCUACCCUUGUCCAUCGGAUAACCCGUCGAAAGGCGGCCUAACACGAUAUGCGGUUCACAGCAGGCAUCUAACGUGAACGAAAUGUGAAGGAGAAGGAUGGGGAUGCGUCUGAUUAGCUUGUUGGCGGGGUAACGCCCACAAGGCUACGAUCGAGUAGGGGUUCUGAGAGGAAGGUCCCCCCANAUUGGAACUGAGACACGGUCCAAACUCCGUACGGGAGGCA
rnacentral:rRNA from 1 species